rnacentral:rRNA from 1 species
AUUCAGUGAAUCAUCGAAUCUUUGAACGCAUCUUGCGCUCCUUGGUAUUCUGAGGAGCAUGCCUGUUUGAGUGUCAUCA